UAGGGAAUCUUCCGCAAUGGGCGAAAGCCUGACGGAGCAACGCCGCGUGAGUGAUGAAGGUCUUCGGAUCGUAAAACUCUGUUAUUAGGGAAGAACAAAUGUGUAAGUAACUAUGCACGUCUUGACGGUACCUAAUCAGAAAGCCACGGCUAACUACGUGCCAGCAGCCGCGGUAAUACGUAGGUGGCAAGCGUUAUCCGGAAUUAUUGGGCGUAAAGCGCGCGUAGGCGGUUUUUUAAGUCUGAUGUGAAAGCCCACGGCUCAACCGUGGAGGGUCAUUGGAAACUGGAAAACUUGAGUGGAGAAGAGGAAAGUGGAAUUCCAUGUGUAGCGGUGAAAUGCGCAGAGAUAUGGAGGAACACCAGUGGCGAAGGCGACUUUCUGGUCUGUAACUGACGCUGAUGUGCGAAAGCGUGGGGAUCAAACAGG
rnacentral:rRNA from 1 species